AAACAGGUGAGAUGGUUCUACUCUUUAUGUAUAAACAGGUGAGCUGGUUCUACUCUUUAUGUAUAAACAGGUGAGCUGGUUCUACUCUUUAUGUAUAAACAGGUGAGCUGGUUCUACUCUUUAUGUAUAAACAGGUGAGCUGGUUCUACUCUUUAUGUAUAAACAGGUGAGCUGGUUCUACUCUUUAUGUAUAAACAGGUGAGCUGGUUCUACUCUUUAUGUAUAAACAGGUGAGCUGGUUCUACUCUUUAUGUAUAAACAGGUGAGCUGGUUCUACUCUUUAUGUAAAAACAGGUGAGCUGGUUCUACUCUUUAUGUAUAAACAGGUGAGCUGGUUCUACUCUUUAUGUAUAAACAGGUGAGCUGGUUCUACUCUUUAUGUAUAAACAGGUGAGCUGGUUCUACUCUUUAUGUAAAAACAGGUGAGCUGGUUCUACUCUUUAUGUAUAAACAGGUGAGCUGGUUCUACUCUUUAUGUAUAAACAGGUGAGCUGGUUCUACUCUUUAUGUAUAAACAGGUGAGCUGGUUCUACUCUUUAUGUAAAAACAGGUGAGCUGGUUCUACUCUUUAUGUAUAAACAGGUGAGCUGGUUCUACUCUUUAUGUAUAAACAGGUGAGCUGGUUCUACUCUUUAUGUAUAAACAGGUGAGCUGGUUCUACUCUUUAUGUAUAAACAGGUGAGCUGGUUCUACUCUUUAUGUAUAAACAGGUGAGCUGGUUCUACUCUUUAUGUAUAAACAGGUGAGCUGGUUCUACUCUUUAUGUAUAAACAGGUGAGCUGGUUCUACUCUUUAUGUAUAAACAGGUGAGCUGGUUCUACUCUUUAUGUAUAAACAGGUGAGCUGGUUCUACUCUUUAUGUAUAAACAGGUGAGCUGGUUCUACUCUUUAUGUAAAAACAGGUGAGCUGGUUCUACUCUUUAUGUAUAAACAGGUGAGCUGGUUCUACUCUUUAUGUAAAAACAGGUGAGCUGGUUCUACUCUUUAUGUAUAAACAGGUGAGCUGGUUCUACUCUUUAUGUAAAAACAGGUGAGCUGGUUCUACUCUUUAUGUAUAAACAGGUGAGCUGGUUCUACU